UAACCUGCCAAGAGAUCGGGAUAACACCUGGAAACAGAUGCUAAUACCGGAUAACAACAGAUGAUGCCUAUCAACUGUUUAAAGUAUGGUUCUGCUAUCACUCUUGGAUGGACCUGCGGUGCAUUAGCUAGUUGGUAGGGUAACGGCCUACCAAGGCGAUGAUGCAUAGCCGAGUUGAGAGACUGAUCGGCCACAUUGGGACUGAGACACGGCCCAAACUCCUACGGGAGGCAGCAGCA
rnacentral:rRNA from 1 species